GACGAACGCUGGCGGCGUGCUUAACACAUGCAAGUCGAACGGAAAGGCCCUGCUUUUGUGGGAUGCUCGAGUGGCGAACGCGUGAGUAACACGUGAGUAACCUGCCCUUUACUUUGGGAUAACUUCUGGAAACUGGGGCUAAUACCGGAUAGGAGCUCCUGCUGCAUGGUGGGUGUUGGAAAGUUUCGGCGGUUGGGGAUGGACUCGCGGCUUAUCAGCUUGUUGGUGGGGUAGUGGCUUACCAAGGCUUUGACGGGUAGCCGGCCUGAGAGGGUGACCGGCCACAUUGGGACUGAGAUACGGCCCAGACUCCUACGGGAGGCAGCAGUGGGAAAUAUUGCACAAUGGGCGGAAGCCUGAUGCAGCAACGCCGCGUGCGGGAUGACGGCCUUCGGGGUGUAAACCGCUUUCGCCUGUGACGAAGCGUGAGUGACGGUAAUGGGUAAAGAAGCACCGGCUAACUACGUG
rnacentral:rRNA from 1 species